UGCUUUCGGGCAGCAGGAACCGGCGAACGGGUGCGUAACACGUAUGCAACCUACCUAUAACUGGGGGAUAGCCCGAGGAAACUCGGAUUAAUACCGUAUACCUCCUUCGGGAGAAAGAAGGCCUCUCUUUGAAGCUUUCGCUACUAGAUGAGCCUGCGUUAGAUUAGCUAGUUGGUGAGGUAAUGGCUCACCAAGACAAUGAUCAAUAGCUGAUCUGAGAGGAUGAUCAGCCACACUGGGACUGAGACACGGCCCAGACUCC
rnacentral:rRNA from 1 species